rnacentral:rRNA from 1 species
UACGUAGGGUGCAAGCGUUGUCCGGAAUUAUUGGGCGUAAAGAGCUCGUAGGCGGUUUGUCGCGUCUGCUGUGAAAACUCGGGGCUCAACUCCGAGCUUGCAGUGGGUACGGGCAGACUAGAGUGCGGUAGGGGAGACUGGAAUUCCUGGUGUAGCGGUGGAAUGCGCAGAUAUCAGGAGGAACACCGGUGGCGAAGGCGGGUCUCUGGGCCGAUACUGACGCUGAGGAGCGAAAGCGUGGGGAGCGAACAGG